CCUCAGCCAAAAUCAUGAGCACAGCAACCAUGAGCAAGUUGGUCAAGAUCUCGGGACACUAAUGACAUCAUCAGGAAUGUUCGUUCAGUCAGUAAUUGUCCCUGUGGAUGCGAUCCUUUCAGACAGAGUAAAUCUCAUGAGAAUCAAGAAUGAGCAAGGAUGGCCUUGCUGCUAGUAACUCAAGAAGCCUUCAAAGUUCCACGAAAGGACAACACUGGGAGGCCUCUGACUUCCUGGGCCCUUGGAGAAGUGCCUGGGCUCGUUGCUACAUGUCAUCUGACUCAGCCUUUUCUCAUGCUGUUUUGCUUCUUGUGGUGGCUGCUUAACCCCAAAGAAUGCAGGGAGGGUCUGUAGUGAAAGUGUCUGGAGUUCCUCCCAGAGGCACUGGCGAAACCAAAUAUUUUUUUUUUCCCUUUGCUCCAGGGGAUCAUUUUAGGUUUUGUUUUGCGCAACUGGUUUUCAGACUUGAACAUUAGCCAGUUUGGGUUGGCUCCCAAGAGUCUUCAGACUAUGGAAAUGUACAGAUGUGAGAGUACUCAUGUACAGAUGUGAGAGCUGGACCAUAAAGAAGGGUGAGAUCUGAAGAACUGAUGCUUUCGAACUGUGGUGUUGGAGAAGACUCUUGAGACACCCUCGGACUACAAGGAGAUCAAAUCAGUCAAUCCUAAAGGAAAAACUUUGAAUAAUCAUUGGAAGCACUGAUGCUGAAGCUCCAUUACUCUGGCCACCUGAUGCAAAGAGCCGAGUCACUGGAAAAGACCUCGAUGUUGGGAAAGAUUGAGGGCAGGAGAAGUAAGUGACAGAGGAUGAGAUGGUUGGAUAGCAUCACCAACUCAAUGGACGUGAGUUUGAGCAAGCUCCAGGAGAUGGUGAAGGACAGGGAAGCCUGGCGUGCGGCAGUACAUGGGGUCAUAAAGAAUCGGACACAACUGAGUGACUGAACAACAAUGAUGGAAAUGUUAGACAAAAAGCAAAUUCAAGCCAUUUUCUUAUUCGAGUUCAAAAUGGGUCUUAAAAGCAGUGGAAACCACUUGCAACACCACCAAAGCAUUUGGCCCAGGAACUGCUAACAAACGUACAGUGCAGUAAGAAGUUUUGCAGAGGAGACGAGAGCCUUGAAAAUGAGGAGCACAGUGGCUGGCCAUCUGAAGUUGACAGUGAUUAACUGAG
ensembl:lncRNA